GGGUGUGACUAGUGACAGAGUGAGGGAGGGGGUGACUAGUGACAGAGAGAGAGAGGGGGUGACUAGUGACAAAGUGAGGGAGGUGGUGAUUAGUGACAGAGGGAGGGAUGGAGCGACUAGUGACAGUCACCACCUCCUUCACUCUGUCACUGUGUCACCCGCUCCCUCACUCUGUCACUGUGUCACCCCCUUCCUCACUCUGUCACUAGUCACCCACUCCCUUCCUCACUCUGUCACUAGUCACCCACUC